AUUGAACGCUGGCGGCAUGCUUUACACAUGCAAGUCGGACGAGUGGCGAACGGGUGAGUAAUAUAUUGGAACGUACCGAGUACUUGGGGAUAACCAAUCGAAAGAUUGGCUAAUACCGCAUAUUUUUCGCGCGGCCGAUAUCUGAUUAGCUAGUUGGGGGGGUAAAGGCCUACCAAGGCGACGAUACGUAGCGGGUCUGAGAGGAUGAUCCGCGAUACGGGAACUGAGAAACGGCCAAGAUUCCGACGGGAGGAAGCAGUGGGGGAUUUUGGAAAAUGGGCGAAAGACUGAUCCAGCCAUGCCGUGUGUCUGAAGAAGGCCUUCGGGUUGUAAAGGACUUUGGUUAGGGAAGCGGUACCUAAAGAAUAAGUGCCGGCUAACUACGUGCCAGCAGCCGCGGUAAUUC
rnacentral:rRNA from 1 species